rnacentral:tRNA from 1 species
GACUCCUUGGUCAAGUGGUUAAGACACCGCCCUUUCACGGCGGUAACAUGGGUUCAAAUCCCGUAGGAGUCA